GGCGCCUUCCUCUGGGCGCCCGGGGUCGGCGGCGCGCGGGGCAAAUGGAGUGGGUGCUGGCGGAUGCGCUGCUCUCGCAGAGCCGGGACCCCCGGGUCCUGCUUGGGGCGCUGUGCCGCGGGGAGGCAUCUGCGGAGCGCGUGGAGACCCUGUGUUUUCUUCUGCAGCGACUGGAGGAUGAGGAAGCGCGCGGCGGCGGCGGCGGCGCGGGCGCGCUCCCGGAGGCGGCGCGCGAGGUCGCCGCCGGGUAUCUGGUGCCGCUGCUGCGGGGCCUGCGCGGGUGCCCAGCGGGCGGCGCGGAUGACCCCGGUCCCGCGGCCCGCCAGCGCCGGCGAGUGCUGAGGGCGGCAGGCGCUGCCCUGCGCUCGUGCGCCCGCCUGGCCGGGGGCCCACAGCUGGCGGCCGCGCUGGCUGAGGAGGCGCUGUGCGACCUGCUCAAUGCGGGGCCUGCGCCCGGCCUCGAAGGGGCCGCCGAGGCGGCCGUGGAGGUGCUGGCGGCCGUGGGGCCCUGCCUGCGGCCUCACGAGGACGCGCCCCUGCUGGAGCGAGUGGCGCGGGCCGCUCUCGCGCUGGCGCUGGGUGGGGACAAGGCGGGGCCUUCCCAGGACGCUGCGGCGCUGGUUGCCGGGCGGCUGCUGCCGGCUCUGGGCCGCUGCGGCGGGGCGGCUCUGCGAGCUGUGUGGGGCGGGCUGGUCGUGCCCGGGAUGCCUGAGGGGCCGGGCCGCGUCGGGUCGCAGCUGCUGAUUCUGAGCGCCCUGGCUGAGAAGCUACUGCCCGAGCCCGGCGCAGACAGCGUGCCCGCCGCGCGCGAGGCGGGCCUGGACGCCCGGCGCUGCGGGCGCUUCUGGAGCACGGUGCAGGCCGGACUGGCCUGGUCUGAGGACGCCCUGACGCGCAAGCGGGCGCGCUACCUGCUGCAGCGGGCUGUGGAGGUGUCGGCGGAACUGGGGACCGACUGCGCGUGCGCCGCCGACGAAGGAGCCGGCCCAAGUCUGUUUUGGUGGUCUGAGAAGAAAAAAGAUGAACUUCUAAAGUUUUGGGAAAACUAUAUUUUAAUUAUGGAAACUCUUGAAGGAAAUCAGAUACAUGUUAUAAAGCCAGUUUUACCAAAGCUAAACAGUCUGUUUGAAUACGCAGUGUCAGAGGAAAAUGGAUGCUGGCUCUUUCACCCAUCCUGGCAUCUGUGUAUUUAUAAAAGAAUGUUUGAAAGUGAAAACAAAAUCCUGACUAAAGAAGGCGUUACCCAUUUUUUGGAACUGUAUGAAACAAGGAUUCUUCCAUUUUCACCAGAAAUUUCUGAGUUUAUCAUUGGACCAUUAAUGAAUGCACUUUCAGAGAGCUCUCUAUACAGCAGGUCCCCAGGCCAGCUGAUAGGAAGUGUUUCUCCAUUGGGACUGAAAUUACAGAAGUUUUUAGUCACUUAUAUUUCUUUUCUUCCAGAAGAAAUAAAGAGUAGUUUCCUGUUAAAGUUUAUUCAGAAGAUGACAAGCAGACACUGGUGUGCUGUUCCCAUCUUGUUUCUAUCUAAGGCCUUGGCAAAUGUCCCAAGAUGUAAAGCCCUAGGUAUAGAAGGACUUCUUGCCCUCAGGGACGUUCUCCAGUGCACCAUGAUCACACAUCAAAUCCUGCUGAGAGGGGCAGCGCAGUGCUAUCUCCUCCAGACGGCCAUGAAUCUGCUGGACGUGGAGAAAGUGUCACUAUCUGAUAUCUCAACUUUUCUCAUGUCAGUGAGACAAGAGGAGUCCUUAGGACGGGGAACUUCACUGUGGAUGCAGCUCUGUGAUUGGUUGCGUAUUAACGAAAGCUGUUUCAGGCAGUCCUCAACUUGUAGCUCCAUUGGACUUCACGAGACUUCCUCUUUAAAUGCUUAUGUCAGGAACCUAGUACAAGAGUAUAUUAGAUCACCUGCCUGGGAAGGAGGAGAAAACAGCUGUAUGCCUGAUUGGUUUGAAGCUAAGCUUGUUGCUAUGAUGGUGUUGCUGGCCAUAGAUGUAGAAAGAAUGAAGAGUCAAUAUAGUGAAAAGCGGAGGACACAGAAUGUAUUAAGGAUAUUCUUAGAUCCUCUCCUGGAUGCCCUUGUGAAGUUUGGUACAAAUGCCUACAUGCCCUUGCUGAAAACUGACAGAUGCCUGCAGUUGCUGUUGAAGUUACUGCAAACUUGCUUGUUGAAAGGUUCCGGUACCCGAGAUGAUGAGGUAUUUACUCUUCUUCAGAACUUUAUCAUGUCUACUACAGAGAGCAUUUCUGAAUUUAUUCUCAGACGACUUACUAUGAAUGAACUAAGUACUGUUCCAGAUCUGGAUCGUUGCCAUUUGUACCUGAUGGUGUUAACUGAGCUUAUAAAUCUCCACUUGAAUGUUGGGUGGAAAAGAGGCAACCCUAUUUGGAGAGUUAUUUCUCCUCUGAAGAAUGCGUCUGUUCGGCAUCUUCAGGAGAUGGACCAUGGACAGGAGCCCACACUGGGUAGACAGAUUCAGAGAGCUGUUAGCAUGGCUGCCUUGGCCAUGGUGUGUGAGGUCAUCAGCCAGAAGCCAGAGCUACAGCUGGACUCUCUGGAUGUGGGUCCCCCAGAAACGUUCAUCUCAUCACUCCAGCUCAAUCAGACUCUGCAGAAGCCCCACACGGAGGAAGAGAGCAGUUUUUUUGAAGAGUCAUCAUCUUCCCAAGGAUGGGGGAAAAUAGUUGCACAAUAUAUUCAUGAUCAGUGGGUCUGCCUCUCUUUCUUGCUGAGAAAAUGUCACACCCUCACACCAGCCUCAGAGGGUGAAGUUCUGGAGCCCACUCUGCCUGCUGUUGCCAUGGCAGUGAGGACUUUGCAGUCUGCACUGGAAGCCCUCACGCUUCUUCCUUCUGAGCAAGUCUUACCUGUGUUCCGUUGUAUGAGAAUUUUGGUGCCCAAGCUUCUGACCACCUCUGAACCACUCUGCAUGGAGUCUUUUGACAUGGCCUGGAAAAUCAUAGCCUCUCUAAGCAACACUCAGCUGAUAUUCUGGUCUAAUUUUAAAGCUUUUGUUCAGUUUGUUUUUGAUCCCAAAGUUCUUACCAUUGCUGCGAAAAUCAAGGGCCAGGCAUAUUUCAAAAUAAAAGAGAUUAUGUACAGGAUAAUUGAAAUGUCUGCUAUAAAAACUGGAGUCUUCAAUAUACUGAUAAGUUAUUGCUGCAGAUCUUGGGUAGUUUCUGCUUCAAAUGUGUCUUUAUCAAUUGCUAAAAAUUACAGUGAACUUGUCCUUGAGGCAUGUAUAUUUGGAACAGUGUUUCGGCGUGAUCAAAGGCUUAUUCAGGAUGUACAGACGUUCAUAGAAAAUCUUGGACAUGAGUGCGCAGCAAAUGUUGUUAUUGAAAAUACCAAAAGAGAAGACCAUUAUGUGAGAGUUUGUGCUGUCAAAUUCCUGUGUUUAUUAGAUGGCUCAAAUAUGUCUCAUAAGUUGUUCAUGGAAGAUCUUGCAAUCAAGCUAUUGGAUAAAGAUGAAUUGGUGUCCAAAUCAAGAACUCGAUACUAUGUGAACUCUCAGCAGCACAGAGUGAAAAACCGAAUAUGGCAGAUUCUGCUUGUACUUUUCCCCAAAUUUGAUCAGGAUUUCUUGAAUAAAAUUAUUGACAAGAUUUUCCAGGCUGGCUUCAUCAAUAAUCAGGCAUCCAUAAAAUAUUUUAUAGAAUGGAUUAUUAUACUGAUUCUUCAUAAAUUCCCUCAAUUUCUUCCAAAGUUCUGGAACUGCUUUUCUUAUGGUGAAGAAAACCUUAAAACAAGCAUUUGUACGUUUUUAUCAGUUUUGUCACAUUUGGACAUCAUUACUGAAAAUAUUCUGGAAAAGAAACUAAUUCUGAAGCAAGCCCUUAUUGUCGUGCUGCAGUGGUGCUUCAAUCACAAUUUUAGCAUUCGACUGUACGCGUUAGUCGCUCUGAAGAAAAUCUGGAGCAUGUGUAAGGGAUUACGUGUUGAAGAACUUGAGGCUUUAACUUCUGUUAUUGAAUCCAGUCUGAGCCAAGUGGAAAACAUGCCCGGAGCAGGGUAAGCAGGCCUUGGCCUUUCCCCUGGUCCAGCAGAGCGUGUGGGGAGGUGUCGGGGGUGCCUGGCCAAGGAGUUGGGGGUGCCCGGUCCAGCGGAGCGUGUGGGGAGGUGUCGGGGGUGCCCGGUCCAGCGGAGCGUGUGGAGAAGCGUCGGUGGUGCCCAGCCGCAGCAGCUUCUCGUAAGCACAUCACAGGCUGUGGUAUGCGGAGCCUGGGUCAGGGAGCAUUUAAGCUGCUUGCUAUUUGAUGUGCAGUUUAAUUACAGUUCUAAGUGCUAUCAGCUCCAUCAUUGACUUUUUUUGCCUUUUUAAACUCUUGAUCUUUAUCUUGAAAUGUUUCCCGUCAGUGCAGCUGAAUGCUAGCAUCCUCUACUGUCAAAGAACCACUGAGAAGCAGGACGAUCUGACUUUAAAGCCAUGUGCUCGUCACCCCUCCAGUGUCCCCGUCAAAGCUGGGAGCUUUUCCUUUUUCUUUUCUAAGAGAACUCGGUUCCCCAAACAGAAUCCUACUCAGAUGAUUGAUAUUAAACAGAUACGACACUGCUGCAGUGGAUGGAGUUGGGAGGGGCGCACAGUGCAGAGCAGAACCCAGGGGACAGGAGCUUGGACACGUGUUGGGGUGUUAUCCUUUGAAGAGGCUUUGGAAAGCCAAGGGGCAAAGACACCAGCUGUGUAAGGAGGGGGCUGAUCUCUCAUCUCAGGUCUCCUGUUUGUUACACCACUGAUGUUGAGGCCUGGUCCCCAGUGACAGGAGGGACAGGAACUCAGGGGUGAAGAAGGUACAUUGGUGGGAGUGGAGAAGUCAUCUUGAAAUUCUGGCUUUAGCUUGGGGGCUGUUGAUCAUGAAUUUAACCCAAAACCUUCUGAUGGCCAUGUUUUAUAAUUUUUUUCCUACCUCUUUUGCCUUUUCAGCCUUGUCAGAUUUUUGGUUUUUUGUUGUAUUGUGUGUGUGCUUGUUAAAGUUAAGAAUUUAAACCUUUGUAUUACUUCUGUUUGACUUAUGAACACUGCUACUAUUUGGCUGCAUGUCAUGAAUCUUCAGAGUAGAAAAAGUGACCUAUGUAAUGAUUUUCUCUCGUGGAAAAAAACUUUAAAAGCCUCUGUGGCCAGAGGGAGAUGUAAGACUCCCAGCCUAGCUUGCUCACACAGUUCCCUUUUAGGAUUCUUUCUCCCGGGGCAUGUGAGGUGUUCCUGGGGUAGCUGUUGUUACAUGAUUUUCCAGUCACUGACCACCAUCUCUUUGAGGGAGUGGAGACCUGGUUUUCAUUCUUGUUGAAUUGUUGUUGUAGGACUGGGAGAGAGGUAUUUAAUUUCUUUGUCUGUUUUUCAGUUUUUAUUUCAAAAUGUCGCAUUUAGGAUCAGCUGUUAAAAGAUACUCAAUCUUGAAGAUAGAGGUGUACAAAUCUUGGGGCGAAAUUCACAGAUUUUCUGCACAUUCUAAAUUCCACAGUGCCUGUUUAAAAGACCUAACUGGUUUUCACUCUUAGCAGAGUAGAUUCACUACUUCUGUUCCUCAGAUGUGUUUUU